rnacentral:misc_RNA from 1 species
GCAAACUUGGUCAUUUAGAGGAAGUAAAAGUCGUAACAAGGUUUCCGUAGGUGAACCUGCGGAAGGAUCAUUAUUGAAUAUGCUUGAUGGGUUUGUAGCUGGCCCCUUGGGGCAUGUGCACAGCCUGUCUUGACUCUAUUCAUCCACCUGUGCACCUUUGUAGUCUUUUGAGGGGACUAAUGAAGCAUGCUGACUGACCUCGGUUGCAUAACCGGAUGUGAGGAUUGCCUGACCUUGUUCAGGCUUUCCUUUUGAGCUUGCAAGUCUUCUCUGGACUAUGUCUUUUAUCACACACCAUAUAGUAUGUUACCAGAAUGUAGUCUAAUGGGCUUUUGUGCCUAUAAGAACCUUAUACAACUUUCAGCAACGGAUCUCUUGGCUCUCGCAUCGAUGAAGAACGCAGC